rnacentral:misc_RNA from 1 species
GUAUAUAAACUUUGUGUAAACCCCCAAAACAUUUGUUACAAUCAAGUGUGUAUGAAAAAUUUUCUAUAGCCACUCGGACAGAGCAAGCUACAGGGUUGUGCACAAGGUGUGAAUGAAUGGAAAUAAGGGCAGGGGAUGUGCACAUGCUCAUAGUGAGCCAGCAACAAUCCCCCCCACCUUAUAUAUAAUUUCAUUAAUGAUCCUUCCGCAGGUUCACCUACGGAAA